UGUAACCACAAAAUUAGCUACUAAGUUGUGUACUUCAAAUUCACGUCAAUCAUUUAUCUUGAGAGUUGAGAUCUGGUUAAUUGGUUUCUUAAUACACAUUGUAUGUUAUCUCAUGUUAUUUGUUCCUCUGUAGGGCUUCUCCCAAAAUCUUUUCAUCCGCUAAUGAUUCCAGUGCCUCUAGAAAGGUACAUAUAUGAGAUGUCUGUCAAAAUCAUUGCCUUUAGUAAUUAAAUGAUACACCUGGUUUUUUUUUACUGCACCAUCAUAUUAUGGCCAAGUAUCAACCUUGUACAAGACGACAGAAAACAAUGUUAAUGCUUAUUUGAACAUUUUUCCCCAUAACAAAUGGUAUUUUGGCAAUAUUAAGGAAGCCAGUAGCAGAUAUGGUUGAUUUUUUCCUUAAAGAAAAUAUGGCAGCUGCUAUAAAUAGGUACUUAGCACUCAGUAUGAUAUUUAAAUAAUGGUUUCUUAGGGUGAUACUUAAUCCCGUAGAUUACCCCAAGUUUGCAGCACAUUGUUUAUAAAUUUCCAGAUAUCAUGAUUCUGUAUACACUUCGUUUUUUCCAUUGCUAACCCAAGUUUGCAGCAUAGCCUGCAACUAUUAUUGCGUACAUCUUUUUCUUGACAUAGAUAUGAAUCAUUCCAAAUCAAUAUCCAGACUAGCAUCACAUUGUCGAUGUCCAUUUCUUUGUGUAGCCCUCAUCACGAAGCGAUGGACUAGCAAUCAUGUGGGAGGGGUAUAGAGAGACAUACACAAGUAACAUCUAGGAGAGAAAGAUCCAUUGCAUCUGAUGGUUUCCUAGAAAUGACAGAAUGUUGCCAUGUAGAAAUAUUGUGAAUCAGUUGCAGGUGAACGAUGGUUUGACCUUACCCAUUGCUUGCACAGUUUUAGUGGCAAAUUUGAUUAGCAUUCUGUAGGUUUACUACUGCAAAGUGAGAUCGCUAUUACUGUACACAUGUGCACGUGUAUAUGAGCACAUCUAACACUUCAUUCAAAAUACUUCUUGAUGUUCCUCCAAAAUUAUAAAUCUAACAAUACAAUUGGUAAGGAGAACAAGGGAUGCAUACAUAUUGAGUAAAGACCAUUGUUUAGCUGAUUAUCCAUACAUAGUGUUACCCUUCACACAUUUUACAUAUUCUUAUUCAGAGGAGGCGAAUGCACCAUUCCUUUUGUUAUUUUCGGAUAAUUGGUCUCAAACUAUUGUAUGCAACCAGGUAGAAGGAUGAAGGCAACCGCUCAAUCUCCAAUCUUUCAUUUGGUCUCAAAAGCCUACUGCCAUGAUCAGAUCAACUCAUUUGUGCCUUCCAAAAGAUCACCAUUGGAAUCAGAUGGAGGAGGCCACAUUUGGAGAGAGAAUUGUUCAAGGGAAAAUGAUUCCUCGCUGGCGCUUAAGCAAUCUGCCCGCCAUACUCAGUUCAUGCCGCGUCAAUUGAAGCUGCUUCCAGUGAUAUUGCUAAGAGUGUGCGAGCCAUCAUAAUAACCAAGUUUGUAACAGUAUGUAAGCUGCUCAUAGUAGUGCUAAGAGCGUGCAAGCCAUCAUAAUAGUGCAUUUUAAGAAGGUUGGUAAUGAA